rnacentral:lncRNA from 1 species
GUGCACUUCUGAUGGAUGAGUGGGUGGAUGGAUGGAGAGAUGUAUGAACGGACAGACCUAAAUGACAAGAGGCCUAAUUCUCAUGUAACACCUGCUUUUGUUUUCUUUUCUUUGAAUUGGAGGGCAUAAGUAACCAGUUCAGAUUCUGGAAAUGUCUGCCUGAGUGUCUCACACUACUACUCUAUGCCAACUCCUGUGUCUUGGAGAAGAAGAGAAAGAGCUCUUUCACCAUGUGAUCCACUGAGCAGUGACAGCCCAGAGAGCCCUCCCCAGAACUAAGCCAAUGCUAACCCCAUGCCUUUGAACCUCCAGAACUUUGAGCUACAUAAACUUUGGCAUUUGUUUUAAAAGUAUCAUGGAUGCAUGUAUAAAGGUAGAGAACCAGUAGAAGGUACGACUGCGCCAACGCUGGCGAAGUUCCGCGGACUCCUCUUUCCUGUUCUCCAGUCUCUCCAGCUAAAUUGAUGAGAUCAGGCAUCACCCGAAAAUGGCGCCGAAAGCCCCUGUUCUCUAUCUUUAGUUUGUACAUCUGCUGAAGAUCAAGUUGGCCUCUCUGGUUAAUUUUUUCUCAAAUGUCCUUGUGG